rnacentral:lncRNA from 10 species
CCACUGUCAGCCCGGCUCGCUACGCCCGUCGCCUCUGCCAGUGGGUGGAGGCGCACACGGAGUGACGGGCGCCCGGCCCCACUCUCCGGAUCUGGACGAUGGGCUCACGCCAGGAACGCCGGUUCCCCCGGGCCCGGGCAUCUCGCCUGCGCUUCCUCCUGAUGGUCGCCAGAGGGCAGCAUCCCCUAACUAAUACCGUAACCGCGCAGUCCCGUUUGACGGUGGUGCCGUGCCCAGCAUCGUGCCAAGGACUCCCCUACUUUAGCUCAUUUAAUCCUCAAAAAAUGCUAUUAUUCUCUUUUUACAGACCAUGAAAUGGAGGCUCAGGGGGUGAAGGGACUGAUCAAGAUCAUUCAGCAAUAAAUGCUGGAACCAGGACUCAACCAUGGCUUUUGGAUUCCGGAGCCUGUAUUCUUAACCACCAGCUCCUGCAGCUUGGUCCUCAUGAUCUGGGCAAGGGGGGAGGCUGAAGGCUGCAGCCCUCUUGUCAUCCAGAUGGGGAAACUGAGGCCCAGAGACUUUAAGGGGCGUAAGCACGGGAAACUCCAGCCUGGCCUCUGACCCCAGUUCAAUCCGACCAUGCCCAAGCCCAAGCGGGCCUUUCCUCCAGAACUGCUCCGGGGCCUGGCUGUGUGACUGGAGCAAGGUGCUAAACCUCUCUGUGCCUCGCUGGUCUAAUCUGUAAAAUGAAGGAAUGGAAACAGACCUCAUUAACUCAUUAAAUAUUUGUUGAGCACCUGC